rnacentral:rRNA from 1 species
GUGAGAAAGAGAAGGGCAUUUGGUGGAUGCCUUGGACCAGGAGGCGAAGAAGACGUGGCACACUGCGAAAGCCAUGGGAGCUGUGAGCGAGCGUUGAUCCGUGGAUAUCCGAAUGGGGCAACCCCCUCGUAAGAGGAUCAUAGACUGAAUACAUAGGUUUAUGAGGCGAACCCGGGGAACUGAAACAUCUCAGUACCUGGAGAAAAGACAUCAACAGAGAUUCUGCGAGUAGUGGCGAGCGAAAGCGGAGCAGGCCAGUGCUUUGACACGAAGUAGAAGAACGGAAUGGAAAGUCCGGCCGAAGAGGUGAUAGCCCGUAAUUGAAUAUCGUGAUGAAGGACUUGAGUAGGCGGGCACGUGAAACCUUGUCUGAACAUGGGGGACACCCUCCAAGCUAAAUACUCCUGGUGACCGAUAGUGAACAAGUACCGUGAGGGAAAGGUGAAAAGCACCCCGAUAAGGGAGUGAAAGAGACCUGAAACAAAUGCCUACAAGCAGUCGAGCCUGAAUUGGGUGACGGCGUACCUUUUGUAUAAUGGUCAGCGAGUUUCUGUCCGUAGCGAGCUUAAGCCGAUAGGUGUAGGCUAGCGAAAGCGAGUCUGAAUAGGCGACAUAGUUACUGGUAGAGACCCGAAACCGAGUGAUUCUAGCCAUGGCAGCUGAAGGUGCGGUAACACGUACUGGAGGGCCGAACCCACGCCUGUUGAAAAAGUCGGGGAUGAGCUGUGGCUAGGGGUGAAAGGCCAAUCAAACUCGGAGAUAGCUGGUUCUCCGCGAAAUCUAUUGAGGUAGAACGUUGCGUAUUACCCUCGGGGUAGAGCACUGGAUGGGCUAGGGGGCCAAAGCCUUACCAAACCUAACCAAACUCGAAUACCGAAGGAGUAUUAGCGCAGCAGACAGACAGUGGGUGCUAAGUCAUUGUCGAGAGGGAAACAGCCCAGACCACCAGCUAAGCCCCUAAAUCGUGGCUAAGUGGAAAGGAUGUGGGAUCCAAAACAACCAGGAGGUUGCUUAGAAGCAGCCAUCUUUAAAGAAAGCGUAAUAGCUCACUGGUCUAAUAGAAACCCUGCGCCGAAAUGUAACGGGGCUCAAGCACGUGCGAAGCUGUGGGUGCAUAUUUAAGAUAUGCGCGGUAGCGGAGCGUUCUGUAAGCCUGAGAGGAGACGGGUGACCCUCUCUGGAGGUAUCAGAAGCGAGAAUGCUGACAUGAGUAGCGACAAACAGUGCGAGAAACACUGUCGCGAAAGUCAAGGUUCCUGCGCAAGGUUAAUCCACGCAGGUGAGCCGGCCCUAAGGCGAGGGCGAAGCCGUAGUCGAUGGGAACCAGGUAAUAUUCCUGGCCUGCUAGAGUGACGAAUGAGAAAUGUUGUCAGGUCUUAAUGGAUUGACCUGGCUUUUGGACCAUUCCGGGAAAUAGCUCUAGCGAAUAGACCGUACCCGAAACCGACACAGGUGGACUGGUAGAGUAUACCAAGGCGCUUGAGAGAACGAUGCUGAAGGAACUAGGCAAAUUGCUCGUAACUUCGGAUAAACGAGACCCAUGAGUGGCAACCAUUUAUGGGUGGCACAGACCAGGGGUAGCGACUGUUUAGUAAAACACAGGCUCUGCGAAUCGAAGAUGACGUAUAGGCCUGACGCCUGCCCGUGCCGGAAGGUUAAGAGGAGAUGUGAGAGCAUUGAAUGAAGCCCGGUAAACGGCGGCCGUAACUAUAACGGUCCUAAGGUAGCGAAAUUCCUUGUCGGGUAAGUUCGACCUGCACGAAUGGCGUAACGACUUCCCGCUGUCUCCAGCAUCGGCUCAGCGAAAUGAAUUCCCGUGAAGAUGCGGGUACCGCGGUCAGACGGAAAGACCCUAUGAACCUUUACUGCAGCUUUGCAGUGGCAUCAGGAAAAUUCUGUGUAGGAUAGGUGGGAGGCUAUGAGCAUGGGCGCAGUCUGUGUGGAGCCAAUCUUGAAAUACCACCCUGACUUUUUCUGAUGUCUAACCGGCCCAUUAGCUGGGUCCGGGACCCUGCAUGGCAGGCAGUUUGACUGGGCGGUCGCCUCCUAAAGGAUAACGAGGCGCGCGAUGGUGGCUCAGGUCGGUCGGAAACCGACUGUCGAGUGCAAUGGCAUAAGCCGCCUGACUGCGAGAGUGACAGCUCGAGCAGAGACGAAAGUCGGCCAUAGUGAUCCGGUGGUUCACGUGGACGGCCAUCGCUCAACGGAUAAAAGUACUCUAGGUAACAGGCUGAUCUCCCCAAGAGUCCACAUCGACGGGAGGUUGGCACCUCGAUGUCGGCUCAUCACAUCCUGGGGCUGGAGCAGGUCCCAAGGUUCGGCUGUUCGCCGAUUAAAGUGGUACGUAGCUGGGUUUAGAACGUCGUGAGACAGUUCGGUCCCUAUCUGCCGUGGUGUAAGAGACUUGAGAGGAUUUGUCCCUAGUACGAGAGGACCGGGAUGAACGAACCUCUGGUGCACCGGUUGUCACGCAGUGGCACAGCGGUAGCUAGUUCGGAAUGGUAACCGCUGAAGCAUCUAAGCGGGAAACCAAGCCUUAAAACAAGGUCUCAUAGAGCCGUCCAAGACAGGACGUUGAUUAGGUCAGUGUGUAAGUGUGGUAACAUGCUGAGCUAACUGAUCCUAAUCGCUCA